CUCUUCUGUUUCUGAAACAUCUUCGUCUGGUGAAAGGAUCGCUAAACCAGAAAAGAAACAAAAUAUUGAAACACUGCAAUAUCAAGACCUGUACAAGACUGAUGACGGAGGUGAAAUUCUAUCAGCUGAAAUCUAUCAAGUUAUGUGUCUGUUAAAAUUAUGCUGACAUGGUCUAUCAAUAAGCAGUAAUACACAAAUGAUGAGUACCCACCCUCUGUAGCGUUUUCGUCCUCACAGUGACCAUUAACUUCUGCUAUAGAGCUGUCUGCUUUUCCAUUAAUCUCAGAGAUCUGGCCAUUGUUUUUGAGAGGCUGAAACAAAGCAAAAAACAUAAAAUAUACAAUAUACCUUUGCAAAGAUUAAAUGGUAUGGAAGCUCAUAAAUAAUAAAACCAGUUUCCAUCUUUUAGCAGUCAAUUUUAAACAUUUUCACAAGCACUUUUCAGUCAUAAGAAACAUAUAGCAACCAUUUGUUCAUAUGCUCAUAACAUCAGAAUUUGCACUUCCAUGAAAGCAAACAAAGAAUUUAAAUCCUUGAUUAACUGGGGCUCCAAAAUCCCAUUUUGUAUACAAACAACACAGUCCACUCUCUGUUGGGUGGGUGUGAUGGUAUUCUUGCUGUUAAACAACCCUAAUUGUCCCAAUCUCAAAUCCGGGAGUCAGAUUAGUCAGUGAAAUUCUGAGCAGGGGAAAGGGAACAAUAAACACAUGUCCUUCAAGUAACACACUAAAAAAAAACAACUAUAGAAAUAGCUGUUAGGGUGAUAUUGCAUCCGUUAAUACCUUCUAAGACACUGUUAGAUUAAUUUUCAGUUCAUGAUACACAUAGAGCAGUGAUGCACACUCACAUUGUGUAUAGGUUUUUUAGUCUUCAAAGCUAACAUUUCAUUUUUUAAAUGUUUAAUAAUGUAGCCUAAUUUGAUGAAAAUUAAAUGUUGAUACUGAUUAUCUGAGUAACCCAAGAACCAAGUUUUACUCCUCUAAAUGUAGAGAUAAAAACAGCAUACACCCUGGAUUGAAACAUGACUGUAUGCCAAAAGAUCAAAGGCCAUAAUUUGAUUAUGGAUGGCUGUGAGUUGAUUUUCCAGUCAAAAGUUAUUUAUCAUUUCACACGCAAGCAUCUAGCAAUUAGUAGGGGCUGUAAACAGGCAUUGCUUUGUUUUCAGUCAUCCUGAACUAAAAUGGUUGACUGUCCCUAAACUGAACCAUACUCAAAGAAUAAAACUAUAAAAUUUGAGGAAAUAUAAGUGCCAAAUAGUGUGAUAAAGAAUAAAGCUAAUCAAUUAUCAAUUAUUUUUGCAACUUAUUUGGAAAAGAGAGCCUGAUUAUUGUACUUAAUGAAAGUAAAUUUAACCUAAUGAAAAACAGAGGCAUUGGGAAAUUUUUUUGGCAUUUUUUUAAAACUUACUUUAAAGAUUUCUUAUUACAAUGGCAUACAUAGGCCCUUAUUCCAUCCAAAUCAUGUAAUCACUCAAGUCACAAAGGUUAAAUGUGCUAUUGAAUCAACACAAUAUCAGAAUUAUUGCUCAUAAGAUAUUGAUAGCUAUUUUUUAUUCUCACAGUACAAUGCUGUCUAAUUGACUUCCUCCUCUGUAUGACCCAGUGAUCAUGUUGUACACAAAUAAUCGAUGUUUCCUUCUGCUGAGUGCAGCAAAGGGGAAAUUCCAUCUCUCCCCUGGGAUUCAUAGGUUCCUCUAAGAAUGAAAGGUCAUUAUUCCUUCACACUGUUUCUCUUUUCAUCUACAGUGAUUGCAAAUCAUUGCAACACCCCUGAAACAAUGAACAGAAGGGCAUCAACUAUGGAUUAUCUGCUGCAUCCUUCUUCCCCUCCCGUUGCGCAGACUGAGCGUCUCCCAUUAUCGGAACUGCAGCGCGUCACUAUCCGGAAUGAGCCGCACAAGUGAUGGAAAUAUAUCCCAAAUGUGCACAGAAAAAGGCAAGCCGGUAGCUCUGAGAGAGGGCAAGAGAGACGGUCAGCUCUCGAAUGCUGCAGCCUGGAUGUUGAAAAAGUCUUUUUUAGCCAAACACCUCCCUGCAGGAUCACAUGAAGCCUAUGAGCCGAGCCUGGUCCGGCCCGGCUGGGCUCGGCACGCCUCUCGCUGCAUCAAAAAAAAAAAAAAAAAAAAAAACAUCUGCAGAGAAAAACAGAGGCUGUCCUCUGAUGACUGAAGCAAAUGUCCGGGCAACAAGCAUGGACCUGUCCUGCACCGCUGUAUACGUUCACAUCAGGGCACAGAUACGCUUGAAGUUACAGCACUCAGUACUGUGAAAAAUGGUGUUAAAGGUUUAAAAAGAUCUUUUCAUUGGAAACAGAAAGCAGCUGUUGUUUGUAAGAUUGAUAUAAACAGACUAGAAAAGUGAAGAUUGCAAACCCCCUUUAGCUGUGUUUGCACUUUUGCAAAGUAGACUUUAUUAUUUUUGACCCUUUGUUUUAAAAAGAGAUGUAUUAAGUUUUAAUAAGUUGAGGGCAGAUGUCUAAGUAGUUGUGUUACUAUAUUAACAUAUUACAAUAUUUGCCUGACUGGGAAAAUUGCAUGCAGAACUUUCACUUUAUGUGACUAAAAGUCCAAAAACAAACUACAUAAUUAAGAAAUGUGAAAGAAAGCAUCUUGGUUUUAAAUAAAGUUAAACUUUUAAUCUAAUUUGGUUUCCCCUGUGCACAUAUUGUGUACUCAUCAAUAUCUAAAACCUCUCCAGGUUGUGUAGCUUGACCUUUUUUUCUCUUUAGUGGGGAGUUGGAGCUCCACAUUUAAUCUGACAAAUGAGCAAGCAAAUUUCAUUAUGAGGUCUGCCAUGUCAGCUCAUGACAGUGAAAACUGGAUGCUGAUGAUGCUGCCGGAUCUUGGUUGGUCAGUCUCAUGGGAAGAAGUCAUCACCUCUUGGAUUAAUGUGUUUAUGUAACUGGGACAUCAGUUGUCCUCUCUGUGUGAACAAGGUGCACAGUUGUCUUGUUUUUGGACAGUGCUUUAGCUCUGAUGUACAUCUUUACCUAUUAUAUAUAUAUAUAUAUUUAUAUUUUAACGUUACAGAAGAAGAAUGUGAUUUUCUGCUGAUGUUUUUGAAACUACAUAUUACCACCUAGAUGUGAGCAAAUACUGUAAUAGUACAAAAUAAAAUGAAGUAAGAGAGAA